AUUGAACGCUGGCGGCAGGCCUAACACAUGCAAGUCGAGCGGUAGAGAGAAGCUUGCUUCUCUUGAGAGCGGCGGACGGGUGAGUAAUGCCUAGGAAUCUGCCUAGUGGUGGGGGAUAACGUUCGGAAACGGACGCUAAUACCGCAUACGUCCUACGGGAGAAAGCGGGGGAUCUUCGGACCUCGCCCCAUUAGAUGAGCCUAGGUCGGAUUAGCUAGUUGGUGAGGUAAUGGCUCACCAAGGCGACGAUCCGUAACUGGUCUGAGAGGAUGAUCAGUCACACUGGAACUGAGACACGGUCCAGACUCCUACGGGAGGCAGCAGUGGGGAAUAUUGGACAAUGGGCGAAAGCCUGAUCCAGCCAUGCCGCGUGUGUGAAGAAGGUCUUCGGAUUGUAAAGCACUUUAAGUUGGGAGGAAGGGUAGUAACCUAAUACGUUGCUACUUUGACGUUACCGACAGAAUAAGCACCGGCUAACUUCGUGCCAGCCGCCGCAGUAA
rnacentral:rRNA from 1 species